GAACGAUUCCAACUCAUCUCAACAAUAAUCGUUGAUCUAAAAACGAUCUUAGUGAAUUCUCACGAUCCACCAGUGACGCUUUGCAGCAUGUAGUGAUAAUUCAGUAGAAUAAAAAAAUAAAUCUCUAAAUGUAGUUAUCAUGUGAUACAAUCCCUCUAUCGUGAGUUCCGACUAGACAGAAAUCAUGGAGAACUCAUCAAAUCCCAUCAUCAGUCAUAUGCUAGAUUGGCUCGACUCAAGUAAAUCUGUGAAUUUUGUGAAAACUUUUUUUCAGUAUUCACACUUACUCUGGCUAGAAAUUUUCUGAACUCAGUCUUACGAAUUACAUAAGACUUCUCCUUGUCUAUCAAGAUCGAUAGAUUCUAUCUAGGUGCAUCCUACUCCAAACAGCGAAUCUGAACCUACAAUAGCCAAUAUACACAGUAAAGAUCUGAAUGGCUAGGAACUAAAAGAACGUGCAGUCAAACUAAGUAGCCUUGCUAUGAAUAGCCAACAUACCACAUGUCAAAAGAUCAGUCACACCACUGC
rnacentral:lncRNA from 1 species